CAUGCAAGUCGGACGCCGCUGUCGCCUUCGGGCGGCAUGUGGAGUGGCGGACGGGUGAGUAACGCGUAGGAACCUGCCCGGAAGUGGGGGACAACCGCUGGAAACGGCGGCUAAUACCGCAUACGCCCCAAGGGGGAAAGGCUUCGGCCGCUUUUGGAGGGUCCUGCGUUCGAUUAGCUAGUCGGUGAGGUGACGGCUCACCGAGGCUACGAUCGAUAGCUGGUCUGAGAGGAUGAUCAGCCACACUGGGACUGAGACACGGCCCAGACUCCUACGGGAGGCAGCAGUGGGGAUAUUGGACAAUGGGCGAAAGCCUGAUCCAGCAAUGCCGCGUGUGUGACGAAGGCCUUAGGGUUGUAAAGCACUUUCACCCGUGAGGAUGAUGACGGUAGCGGGAGAAGAAGCCCCGGCUAACUCCGUGCCAGCAGCCGCGGUAAUACGGAGGGGGCGAGCGUUGUUCGGAAUUACUGGGCGUAAAGGGCGUGUAGGCGGCCCUGUCAGUCAGGCGUGAAAUUCCCGGGCUCAACCUGGGACGUGCGCUUGAUACUGCAGGGCUUGAGAGCGAGAGAGGUAAGCGGAAUUCCCAGUGUAGAGGUGAAAUUCGUAGAUAUUGGGAAGAACACCAGUGGCGAAGGCGGCUUACUGGCUCGUUCUGACG
rnacentral:rRNA from 1 species